GGAAGGCAGCAGGCACGCAAAUUACCCAAUCCCGGCUCGGGGAGGUAGUGACGAAAAAUAACGACGCUGGACUCUACGAGACCCAGUCGUCGGAAUGAGUGCGCUCCAAACCCUCGAGCGAGGACCCACCGGAGGGCAAGACUAAUGCCAGCCGCUGCGGUAAUUUUAGCUCCGGUAGCGUAUACUAAAUUUGUUGCAGUUAAAAAGCUCGUAGUUGGAUUCCUGCUCUGGACGUAGGGGGCCGCUAACGCGGUUCGCCAUGCGCACCCGGCAUUCUGCCCGCCGCUCCCGGGAUCGUUGUCAAAGGCGGUCUCGGGGUGGAUGGCGGAGAUCGCUUUGCAAAAAUUAGAGUGCUCUAGGCGGGCCGAUAAGCUCGAAUAGUAACGCACGGUACGAUGAAACAUGACUUUGGCUCUUAUUCGGUUGGGGCACGGAGACCGAGGUAAUGAUUAAUAGGAGCAGACGGGGGCAUUCGUAUUCCGACGCUAGAGGUGAAAUUCUUGGACCGUCGGAAGACGCACCACUGCGAAAGCAUUUGCCAAGAAUGUUUCCGUUGACCAAGAACGAAAGUGUGGGGCUCAAAGAAGAUUAGAUACCUUUGUAGUCUUGUACCCUAAACGAUACCCGCCAGCGAUCCGGCUGCGUACGAACGUGACGCGCCGGGCAGCUCUUCCGGGAAACCGAGUUCCGGCUCC
rnacentral:rRNA from 1 species